CCCUUAUAAUUGAAUUUGAUAUUUUAGGAUCAUUUUGAAUUUGCUGUCAAGUCUAUUAGGCCUCCUUUCACUUCCAGUUGUUUCAUCAAAUCAGUUAGUCACCAUUUCAAACUGUGCUAUACAUGACAGACAACAUGACAAGGACAUGUAGAUAUUAGAAAUGGAAUAACAUUACUAAGGCAAUUAUUACUUUGAUUGAGACCCAAAUUUGCUGUAUGUGAUUUGCACUUUUGGGGGACAUUUCCACUGGUUUCCAUGGCAUCAAGCUGUUAAACACUGGCAGUAACAUUAAAACAUGAAAUGCUGCUGGGCUCUCCUCUCUCUAGGCGGCUGCUGACCAGUCAGUGGCUUACAUUAGAGCAGAAGCAUAACCCUUCCCCAUUGAUUUGUCCUCUGACAAGUAGAGUCGUGCUAAAUGAUGUCCACUGGAUUAAACUGCCUCCUCCCUCACUCUGGGGCGAACCACUAUGGAUAUCCACCAUUUUAGCCCUCAGGAAACACUGUGGGGAUCCAACUGUGUGCGUUCCCACACUUCCCAUAUGUACUCUCUGAAGAGCCCUGCUCAGUGAUGGAGAAUGAGCGGCCUCAGUGAAGACAUACCAUCAUAUGAAUACUGAAGCUGCAGUGGAAACAGGGGACCAUGUCUUUAGCAUCUAUAGUGGUAGGCGAUGGCAGCACUGACAUUACUCACAGGCUCAACUCUCACAGCUGUAUUGCUUGUACAAACACACAGGGAGCUGUGGAUAUAAACACUCAUUUAUAAGGACCAGGUAUAAUGGACAUGUUGUCUGUCUGAUAAUGACCAGGUAUAAUGGACAUGUUAUCGGUCUGGCUAUGAACCUUGAAGAGUUUGAGACGCUGUAUUAUUUUGUCACCAAAUAUGACAAUCAUUCUACAGAACUAUAAUUCAACCUCACUGAUUCUCAUUGAUUUUAUUCUAAUUUAAAAUCACUCAUCAAGAGUUUCUUCCGACAAAAAAAACAAUUCUCAUGCAUCUCGAUAGCUGGGAGAACAGGGAUUAGAACUGAAUAUUUCACCAUUGUACACAGUAUACUAAAUAAAAUUUAGAUGUAUUUGUUUAUUUUGACAUUUUAAAACAAAGAGCACAAUCUGUUAUUUAAAAGACCUUAUUGGCAGACCUGCAGAGCUACAUGUUCUUUCUGCUGCUUUCUACUGUAGUAUUUCAGCAAAAUAUGAACUGGGAGAAACCCAUGGCCAUACCAAUCAUCUGUAUUGUGUGCUGGUGUGAAGUGUGUGAAGCACAUAAUCAUAUUACGUAAUAGCAUAUUUUAUGGAGAGGGAUAAGCAGUAUGCAGAACUGCAAAUGAAAUCUUGGCCUGUAUUGGGGUAAUGUUUUGAAGAUGUUUAUCAAUGUGGGUGCAAUACACCAUCCUAAGAUUUUAACAGAGUUAAACCAAACAGAAAACUACAUAUUCGUAUUUUAAUGAUCAUUGUAAAUAUUUGAACAAGUUCACCCUUCCACACACUUAAUUGUAUACAUCUGUGUGUGCGAGGCACUACAGUAAUUUGCACUGUAGUAUUUUUAAUAAGCAUGUUGUGUUGAAUUAGUUCUAAAAUGCAAGAGGGGAAUCUAACAUACAGUAUAAAUGACGAAACAACAUAACUCAUCCCCUCUUUGUUAAUUAUUCAUUUGAAAGCGUCUCAGGGGCAAGUACAGGGCUAAGAUUUCAGUCAAAAACUGUAGAUCCACGUAAUAGGACAGAGAGCCGACUAAGUUUGAACUGAUUGUUGCAAAUAAAUGUUUCAUCCCAAACAUAAAUUUGUGAAACCAUUAGCAGCAAGGUGUCAAAACAGCCCACGGACAAGCACACGGCUCUGCUUUGGUAACAUUAAUCAGCACUGACUUGUUAAUGCGCCCUCCUGCUACAGACUCCUGCCUCAUCUCAUUUGAAGAACAGAGAAGCUGAGGUGGUCUGUUUUAAAAAGCCUUUGACCUGCACUGAGAUACCGUACACUCAUUCUAAAUGGAGUGCUAAAACUGGCUACCAUCAUCCCAUUGCUCUCUGCAGUGGUGACCCGUGUGCUUGAUGUUCCAUGCGUUUGAUAGGUCUGGGUCAUUGAGGAUGGGAAGGCAAGGGAGAGAUGAGGGAAUCACACCCGCAGUACAAUUACUUCUACAAAGGAACAUGCACCAGUCAUCCAAGGUUACGAUCAACAAGUGACUGAAAACACACUCAAACAGUGGACAGUGACACCUGCGAUGAUAGCAUCACACAUAUAGCUACUGGACAAAACCAGAAAAUGUCCCCUUCCUAUCAACUUAUAGUGUUUUGAAUUCUUCUAUUUGCUGCAAUUGAGAGGUAUAUUUCUUAAUUUACAACAGUUACUACAUUAAUGCUAGAUAGAUGUUUAAUAGUACAACUACUACAACAAAUAGUAUCAUACUCAAUCUGUUGGAUAGACACACUGGUUUUCUUUGUCUCUGUCUGUGAUUGUUAAACAAAUGCUGAACAAAUGCCGUUGAUGGUUCUGGUCAUGACUACCUAAACCCACUGCCUACAGACAAGAGGAAAUGACAGAAGAAAGUCAUAGGGAAUGUCGUAAUACCAGAGUAAACCAAUAAUGUUGGAAAUACAAGGGGAAAAGACAACCUAGAUGGAACAGAAACAAAAGGUGAACAAGAAAACUAUCAAAUGCAAAGCAGAUUUUGUAUCAAGCAGCAGUUUAACUCAAUUUCACCCAAAGUAUAAUCUAAUUCUGGAAAUGCCUUUUUUACAUCUAUCAUCUGAGACAGUGAUGAAUCUCAUUACUCAUCCGAGAGAUCAUUUCAAACAACCGGAACAAUGUUUGAUUUAAAAAAAAAUAAUAAUAAUCAAAAAUAGCCCAUAUUUGGGAGGGGGAACAAAUUCCUUACUCUAACCUUCCCCCAUUCUAAUGAUAUUGUGAAUAGGCCUACCUUGCAUGCAAUAAUCAGUUUUAAUUUGCAGUACAUUUACAAUAGCCUGCUGAUCCAAACGGAAAAGAAAGUCAAGAGCUAAGUUACACUCAAUGGUAGCAAAUCUGAAGAUGUUACCCAUUCUGCGCUCUGCUGUCAAGAUAUUUGGAUUCUGCCUUGGAGGUGAAAAUGUUGCUCAGUUUAUUUUUCAAUAUAAUGGCGUUUUACCAAUUCCGCACGAACCCCUUCAUCUAAACUUGAACUGAAAAAGAUUAUCUCAUAUGCUACUUUGACAUUGCACGCAGAUGGCUGUGAUUAACUUUAAGGAACAAGAAACCGUUGCACUGGUUAAUAAUAAUGCGCGUUUCCUUACCUCCACAGGAACUCCAAAACAGGGCGACAACUAUUGAGGAUGUAGCCUAAACAGUAUACAUCCGUAUUUAUGUGUCUGUUCCUAUAGCGCUCUUAUUGCACCCCUGCCAAGCUAGCGCGCUAUGUCUAGGAUUCUCUCUCUCUACCGAAUCUCUCUUGAUGUAUGUCACAAAUCCUCUUUCAUUUUCUUAUUUCGCAUAGCAGUGAAGCCAUUAGAACAGCCGUAAUCCGUAGAUCUAAAUCCGCGCUGUACCCCCCUUCCUUUAGCAGAACCACGUUGCUCUCGUUGGAAUCCUACGAACCCAGCUGUUUUUAAGUCGGAGAGCAGGGCGUAUGUGCGCAUGCUCGCUCUGUCAGGAAACACUCAAAGCAGCCAGUGUGAUGGUGACCUAUAGCUCCUCUUCCCACAUGCUAAUGGAGUCGCAAAUUGAUAAGAAAAGUGAAGUUUUUCAAGGUUAGAUCUAAGUAAAC
ensembl:lncRNA